UACGUAGGUGGCGAGCGUUGUCCGGAUUUACUGGGCGUAAAGAGCGCGCAGGCGGCUGGGCAAGUCCGAUGUGAAAGCUUCCGGCUUAACUGGAAAAUUGCAUUGGAAACUGCUCGGCUUGAAGGUGGGAGAGGGUAGCGGAAUUCCCGGUGUAGUGGUGAAAUGCGUAGAUAUCAGGAGGAACACCGGUGGCGAAGGCGGAUCUCUGGGCCAUUACUGACGCUGAGGAGCGAAAGCGUGGGGAGCGAACAGG
rnacentral:rRNA from 1 species